UGCCUGAGGCGGGUUGCGUCAGAGUCUGGUCCAAGAUGGCGCCGCCCACCCACCUCAUGGUGUGACAGCCCCCUGGGCCACACAGGCCUCGCACCACCUGGAGACAGUGCCAGGGGCAUCCUUCAGACACCUGCCCGCAUGGGUCCUGACUGGAGACGUCGUCUCAGGAGUCCUGGGUGCAGGGUUUUCCGGCAUCUCGUCUGCUUUCGUAAAAGGAAAUUUGGACAGACCUUCUCCAGGGAGACGAGCGGCGCGGCAAACUUGUUCGCCGGCGUGGCGUGGCGUCGGAUCGAGCGUCGUCAGGUCGAAACUGACCUCAGAAAGUUGAAAUAGGGUGUCAAUUUAUAGACGUCGUAAGCGCGAAACGUUGUAAGUCGAGGGCUGCCUGUAUUCGUCAUUUUAAGAUGGAGGUAGAAACAAAUACCAGUGCCUUGGAGCGAGUUACGGUCGCUCCGUGGGACGGUGCAAUCGGAGCUGCGUCGCCGGGACCAGCGAACGGACGGCAGAAUUGGAGAAGAAAGGUGAGUUUGGAUAGUGGAACGUAACGGCCCUUUAAAAGGGGUGGGGGUCAUGAAAUGCUUGUGCAAUGAAGACUUUAUUAGGAAUCAAGGUUGGGGGGGGUUCGGGAAAAUUUUCGUAUUCCAGGUCAAAUGAGCCAAAUCGAUUCUGAAUCCUCGGUUGAGCAACACUCAAACACUGUAUGUGGCGCUAAAACCAGCAAGUAUCCUCCACCGACGACUUUUCAGCAUGGGAUUUCACAUACUUCCAAAUCCAUCCGCGGGCAUCCUACAUGUACCCCAAAGCCCGGAGGCUUGGGGUUUGGAUGCCCCCACGUCUCACUUGCCCUUAACCAAAGGCCACGGGAGCAAGUUAGGGAGGAGUCCCCCGUUUCCAUAAGGUCAGCAUGUAGCUGAGAUCCUCCCACUGGAAACUGGCCGGUGGGUAGCUAAUUACAAGACUGGUAGGGCAUCCUGUCUGCAGUGCAUGAGACGGGGUGCACCUUCCCCUACACACUGCCAUUUAAAUCCAUUUCGGUUCCGGUACCAGACCAGCGCAGUGGCGACACUUGAUCUUAACCCACAAGAGGCCAAGAAGCGUUUAGAAGGAAUCAGGUAUAUUUUAACGAGCCAUGAAGUCAAUAGACUUCCCUUACUGGUGCCCGAAUAGAAAUGCUGCUGCUCCUGCCGGGCAUUUGGUUUCAAACUUUGGGUGGAGCAGGAAUCAAAGGAGGAUGCAGCUGUAUUAAUGCACCCCCCCAGAUCUGCCCCUGAAGUAUUCAAUAACCUGAUGCAAUGCACCGACUCGAACAGAUCAAAAUUCAGGCAGGGUUUCAACCACCCCCGCCCCAAACAAUCUCAUAACUGUUUUCAUAGAAAAACUCUGCUUUUUAACUAGCUGGCUGUGGUGACGGCACUGUUAAAGUGAGGCCAUCACACAACACCAUCACAGCCAGAGGGAAAAGGUGUCUUGUGUGGGGCAGGUCUUUAGCCUUGCAAACAAAAGUGCAACAAGGUCCAAGAGUUGGAAGCUGAGGUUAGACAAACUCACCAUGGAACCAGCCACAAUUUUCUAGCUAUCCCGUGUUAUGUACACACAAGCUAUGAGGGCAAUUAAACACUGGAACAGCUUCCUGGGAGAGGUGGUGAAUACUUCACAAUUAGAUUAAAUACCUUACUAAAGGGAAAUGCUCCAAUCUAAGCAAAAACCCUACAAUCUGCAUGAGCAGUAGGUCUGGCUAUAACAGCUGUGAGGGUCCUUUUUAGCCCAUGCGUCUGGGAUGUCCUGUUAAUUCUCUUCCUUCUGUGGAACGAACAUAAAGCUGCCUUGCCCUCAAAGUCAUCAUAACACUUGCAGUGUUUUAUGUCAACUGUAAUCAAAUCUCAUGCUUCAGCUGAUUGCCUGCAGGGGUCAGGAAGGACUUCACCCCCUGAAGCACAAUUGGCCAGAUGUUUUCUGGUUUUUCUUUUUUUCUCUUUCCCUGAAGCAUCACAAAUCGGCCUCUGCUGGAGACAGCACGGAGCGGUGCUCUAAAGGAGCGUGGAGAAUGGUUUUAGCUGGUGUGUUCUGACUUGCUAAUGGUCAUCACAUCGUCUGAGUCUGAGCAAUAAUUUCCCCCCACAUCAGACUGAUGGAGACCUUGGUGUUUUCUUCCCUUUUUUUUUUUUUUUGGUUUUCUGCUGCAGAAGGAGCAUGGACUUCCUGCUAGGAUCAUCUCUACCUAUAUCUCAUUUAAAUAAUUUGCACUGAGCCUUGUUGACAUCUCAUCUCUCCUACGUACUCAGUAGUUUAGUCUUCUGAGGACUGAAAUGCUUUGGACUAACUCAAAUUAUUGGGUUCAAUAUAGGAGUAUCUGGUUGAAAUGCAGUAACCGUGUAGGAAGUCUCUGCUAACAUUAAAUGCUAUUAAACUGCUUUUGAAUCCUA